AAGUGAAAUGAUGGCAAUCAUCUUCCAGGACUGACCUGAAAUGAAGGAGAAUACUCAUUGCUGAACACUU
rnacentral:snoRNA from 1 species